AAAUGACCUUUAAAUACAAGCUCAGUGAAGUGAGAGAAGGUGUCCUUUGGAUGUCAGUAGGAAGAGCAUUGUAGGCAGGGGAACUGCAAGUGCAAAGGCCCUGAGGCAGACACUCUCUUACUGUAACCACCAAACAGCAAUGAAGCCAGCAUGGCACAGCAGCCCAAGGGCAAGGUGGAUAGGUGAGGUCACAGAGGCGCCAGGAGCCAAAGCAUGGUCCUCACUGGCCAUGCAAGGACAGCGGAUGUUCAUCUUAGCUUGAUGAGAAAUCACUGAAAGUUCCAAGCUCUAAGUGACACGGUCUGACAUUCUAAGAGCAUCAUUGGUGCUGUGUAUAAAAUAAACUGCAUGAAUGGAAGCAACCAUGGAAACGAUGAGCCCAAUCUGAGGCUGCUGCGAGGAUCCAGGUCUCGGCGUAAAUGCCGCCUCCUCAGAGAAGCUGCUCUGGGUCAACUCCAAGUAAAGCCAAUCCACCUUCUCCUUUCCUCCUGUUCUCCACAAGGGCAUCCUUGUUCAUUUCUUUCAUAGAAAGAACAUACCUGUUCCUUUCUUUGCUGAUCUGCUUAUUGGCUCCAUUCCCAUCUAGACUGUAAACUCCACGAGAGCAAAGUUUGUUCACCACUGCAUUUCCAAGACCCAGUAUGGGCACUCCUUAUUACUGAAUGGACAGAUAAUCGUAUCUUAAGUGCUUACUGGGAGCCAGGUACUGUGCUAAGUGAUUUGGAAGCACUAUCUCCUUGAGUCCUUCAUCAGCUCUAUAAAACCUGUGGACAACGAGGCAGUGGGUUUAGAGGGGUUAAGCAUCUGACUGGUUUGGUCGCAGAUGUGAUCUAGCUUCUUCUACUGGUCUUCUCCAUGUACUGCAGAACAAACAAGCUGUUACAAAGCAACAAGAAGAAACAAAGCUCUGUGUAACUCUACCAGCCUAAUUAGGCAUCCUCCUCCUCUGGUCAUUCGAGGACUCAACUCUUCUCCUCUCCCAAGAUGCCUGGUUUAGACAGGAAAAGAACAAAUUCUUUGGCUAAGGCGGGCAGGUGACCCUGGCCCAGCCAAUCAGCAGCCCGAGUCACAUGGAAUUAAAGGUAAACACAUGACCCAGGAUAUUCUAGUAAGAGCCAGCCCCGAGCUGCUGGGAAUUUUAGGGAAAACAUUGUCUUUUGGUAGAGAUUACUGAGGCAACGGGGCCUGACUGGUUAGUGCUGUGUGCCCGAGAAAGCCCUCUGAGAACGCAGGGCGGAGUCGGCACCCAGCAAAGCAGAGAGGCAUUCUGCGGAGAUCACUCCGCCACACACAUCUGCACACUCACUUUUUGUUGGUUGUUUUAAGUCAGUCUGAGUCCAAUUUCUGUUUGCAACACAGGGCUUUGGUUAACACCGAGAGAAGCCGCAGACCCAAACUAGACCAGGCAGAGGGGCGUGGGAAGAGGGAGGGAGGAGCCCCAGAGCAGGGAUGGAGGUUCACCUUUACUUCGGGGGUGGGCCACACAAGGCCAAGAGCAGGGCAAGAAGUUGAAACCCACCUACCCACGGCCCCCACAGCCUCAGUUUCCCAGUGACGUUAGGAGAUGGGGCUACCAACUGGGACCACGGGCGCUGGAACUUCAGGGAGAAGGAAUUGAGAAAAGAUGUUCGGAGAUGGCACCCGAGACUUCGGACAGACUGACGGGGAAGGCAAAGGGCACAGCUGAGAUGGGAACCUACAAACGUGGAGGCUCAGCGGGGUCCUUACUGCCCACCGCUACUCAGCUAAGCAGCCGAGCUCGUGUGGAACCCUGGGUCUAUCUGACUCUCCGUCCACAUUCUUCCUGCUUGACUCAGAUUUCCGGGGUGCAUCUGCUCAUCUUCUCAAGUUCUCCCACCCUUCUGCCAACAGCUUUCUGGAGUCCUGUGAUCGUGACAACCUGGCAGGGUUGACAGCAGAAGGUGAACUUCAUGGCUACCCACCCAGAAGAGUCUGUCCCCCAGGAAAAUAUUUAAACUCAAGAUUGGAGGGAGAGCAGUUUAAAUUCCAUAGCCGAGUGUUAGCACUUUCGGUAGAUGAGAGAAUAAAUACUACAGUGCCUAAGAGUAUGGGCUUUGGGGUGAAGAAAAAGACUUUAUAUUGACAUUAGGACUUAGCAGCUGUGUGGCCACGGGCAAAUUACUUGGGCUCCCUUAGCCUGUUCCUCUACUGUCACGGGUGGUAAUAACAGCACCCAUCUCACGGUAUUCUUUGAGGAUGAAAUGAAAGCACAAAUAGAGUUCUACUCUUUAGUAGAGGUAAAUAAUUUAACAGAGCAUGCAUGACUUGCUUUAAUGUUAGGGUUGUAAAUAGUGUUAUUAGUAAAGUCUUCUUCAUUAAAUGGAAGGCCAGUUUUCUUACCCUAAUUAUGUUAUAUUCCCUGGGUAGGUCACUUAGCAAAUCUCUUGGCCCUGUUUUCUCAUCUGUAGGAAGAAGAAGUUGAAUUCCACUUCUAAGGUAAUCUUUCAACUUUUGAUUUCUAUGAUAUUAUACUCCAGUGGUUACUGCCAGACAUAUCCUAUCAGUUCCAAACUCCCUCUUGGCAUGUGACCUUCUCUUCUUCCAUUUCAGUUCACACUGUUGGCUUCUCUUCCAGGGGACAGCUCAAAGUCAUGCAUCUGGCAGAUGAUUUAGGAAUUUCACUUGGCCCAGGGGCCUGCCAAUUCCAACCAUCCAACGGGAGCCUGGUUUGAUCUGCAGUUUAAGUAGGUCCUUCUUGGCAGAGAUGUGGAGAGAGGGAAACAAGAACAGACAGGCAGCUUCCAGCCUGCAGGGCCUACAUGAUUGUAGGCUAUUUGUUAUGAAUGUAGAGUAAUUUUUUUUAAUUAAGAUUUCUGCUGGGGGAACAUCUCCUCCUCGCCGAGCCCCUGACCUGCUCCUCCUCUCAGAUGCCACCCUGCCAAGGGCUGGCCAAAGUCUGCUGUCUUUGUCAGCCUCAAAAUCAAAGCCUUAAGGAACAAGAGAGAUCUGCAUCUUUCCAAAUCCUGCCAGUGAACUGUAAAAGGUGUGAAUAUGCUACGUGUUUGUUGCAACAUUUUAAAAUAAAUUUUAAGACAUUUGAA